CAGCAGCCGCGGGAAUACGAAGGGUGCAAGCGUUAAUCGGAAUUACUGGGCGUAAAGCGUGCGUAGGCGGUGAGUUAAGUCUGCUGUGAAAUCCCCGGGCUCAACCUGGGGAUGGCAGUGGAUACUGGCUCGCUAGAGUGUGUCAGAGGAUGGUGGAAUUCCCGGUGUAGCGGUGAAAUGCGUAGAGAUCGGGAGGAACAUCAGUGGCGAAGGCGGCCAUCUGGGACAACACUGACGCUGAGGCACGAAAGCGUGGGGAGCAAACAGGAUUAGAUACCCCGGUAGUCCCUGUCUCUUAUAC
rnacentral:rRNA from 1 species